AUGUUGUUCAAAAAGUUUCAAGAUUACAUUUUUACAAAAGGUUCCUUAAACGCCAUAACUAACAGGCAAAAUAUAGAUGCUGCUAGAACAUCAUCAACAAGUUUACACGAAAGGACUGCUAGCUCCAAUGAAGGCAAUAUCGUUUUAAUCGGCCAUCCAUCAAUAGCACCAUAUAGAAGGGAAUCUUCAGGGGGCCAUAGAUCUGAACUAUCUCAAAACCAUGUUAGAACUGUAUCGGCUGGUGCAGUCCCUGAGGCAAGGUUUCAAGAAGCACAAGGCUGCAACUUACUACCCGCAUAG